AUGGCCACGUCACGUUGAAAUAUCGGUUCCCGUAUGAUCACCGAAGUUAAGCAAUGUUGGACCUGGUCAGUAUCUAGAUGGGUGACCGCUUAAGAAUACCAGGUGUUGUAA
rnacentral:rRNA from 1 species